rnacentral:rRNA from 1 species
UAUUGGGCAAUGGGCGCAAGCCUGACCCAGCAACGCCGCGUGAAGGAAGAAGGCUUUCGGUUUGUAAACUUCUUUUAUCAGGGACGAAAUAUAUGACGGUACCUGAUGAAUAAGCCACGGCUAACUACGUGCCAGCAGCCGCGGUAAUACGUAGGUGGCAAGCGUUAUCCGGAUUUACUGGGUGUAAAGGGCGUGUAGGCGGGACUGCAAGUCAGAUGUGAAAAUUAUGGGCUCAACCCAUAACCUGCAUUUGAAACUGUAGUUCUUGAGUGAUGGAGAGGCAGGCGGAAUUCCGUGUGUAGCGGUGAAAUGCGUAGAUAUACGGAGGAACACCAGUGGCGAAGGCGGCCUGCUGGACAUUAACUGACGCUGAGGCGCGAAAGCGUGGGGAGCAAACAGGA